rnacentral:lncRNA from 1 species
GCCUGGUCUACUGGUCUUCUCUAUCUUAGACAUUUUUUCUAUGGGCUUCUCUACUAUGGAUCGAAUUUGAGGUGCCAAAACUCAAUAGGAGGUGUGUUAGUGGCGAAGGAGGAGGAGGGGUCGAUGGUGGCCUCAUCCGUGGCAAUCUUGAGGGCAGAGUGGUAGCGACGGAGGAGGUGGAGGUCGUCCUCGAUUUCUUGUUGCGUGCAGCAGUGGUGGCGGAAGGGCUCCAGCGUUGGC